rnacentral:rRNA from 1 species
CUACGUGCCAGCAGCCGCGGUAAUACGUAGGGCGCGAGCGUUGUCCGGAAUUAUUGGGCGUAAAGGGCUUGUAGGCGGUUGGUCGCGUCUGCCGUGAAAUUCUCUGGCUUAACUGGGGGCGUGCGGUGGGUACGGGCUGACUUGAGUGCGGUAGGGGAGACUGGAACUCCUGGUGUAGCGGUGGAAUGCGCAGAUAUCAGGAAGAACACCGGUGGCGAAGGCGGGUCUCUGGGCCGUUACUGACGCUGAGGAGCGAAAGCGUGGGGAGCGAACAGGAUUAGAUAUCCUGGUAGUCCACGCUGUAAACGUUGGGCACUAGGUGUGGGGGCCACCCGUGGUUUCUGCGCCGUAGCUAACGCUUUAAGUGCCCCGCCUGGGGAGUACGGCCGCAAGGCUAAAACUCAAAGGAAUUGACGGGGACCCGCACAAGCGGUGGAUGAUGUGGAUUAAUUCGAUGCAACGCGAAGAACCUUACCUGGUCUUGACAU